AGUAGAAACUGUGUGUGAGGCUCCUCAGGACACUUCAUAUUCACUGAUAAUAAAGAACGAGGCAUGUGUUUGGAAAAUAGUCAACAGACGGAGAGCUCUGGAUCGUUUGGAUUGAUCUUCAUUGCAGUGAUGGACAUCAGCUGCGGACAGGUGGUACGUCUAUGAUCCUCCAGCACAUGAUCAGAUGUCCCUCCUGGAUGCAGUGGAGGCUUCAGAAACUUUUCAGACUGAAGAGGCAAAUCUGGCGCGCUGUCUCCAUCCAUGCAGGAGACGAUAUAAUGUGCGAUGUGAACAAGAACAUGAGGCAAGUCCUGAAGAUCAUACUGCUUACUGUAGAGCAGUUCUUUUUUAUUUUCCUUUUGAUUUGCCUAAUUGUGUGGUGUAUUUAUGGGACAAAACUGAUGAACUAAAAGUGGUUCUUUGGCUGUAAUCAUACCACCUAUAUCUGUGCCAAUAUCUGUGCUAGCACCUCAACCACCCAAAGAACUGUGCAGAUUCUAAAUGGUUCCCCUUUUAGGAGUUAAAACACUAAGGAACCCUUUUUUAAGAGAGAAAGAAAGUGUGUGUGUGUAUAAAAAGUUAAUUUGCAAAAACAAAUAACCACCAUUUUCAGAAAUGUUUGUAACAGAGGUUGAAAAUUACAACAAAAAAAAAAUCUCCAGAAAUGUUAUGCAAUUGUACAUUUCAACACAAAAAGUAAACAAA